UUGCGUACAGCUGGUUAUGUACUUGGUUUUGUAACCCUUUAACUUUUGAUAUUUCGGUUAAUGACUAAAUAGACAUUUAUUUUGUCUCUUUGGUCUCUUUUGGCUAAAAAGGGGGAGAAGGUAGCUAUAGCUAUAGCUAUAGAUGAUGUUUGUCUGAUACAAAGAGGGAGAACUUUCUGGUGUGUAUUUGUUUGGCACAGGGGGAGGAUUCUCUGUGUUCUGUAUGUGUGAAGCAGGUUGUUGCUUGGUGUGGACUAGAUGAAGGGGGGG
rnacentral:lncRNA from 1 species